GAUGAACGCUGGCGGCGUGCCUAAUGCAUGCAAGUCGAGCGAAUGGAUUAAGAGCUUGCUCUUAUGAAGUUAGCGGCGGACGGGUGAGUAACACGUGGGUAACCUGCCCAUAAGACUGGGAUAACUCCGGGAAACCGGGGCUAAUACCGGAUAACAUUUUGAACCGCAUGGUUCGAAAUUGAAAGGCGGCUUCGGCUGUCACUUAUGGAUGGACCCGCGUCGCAUUAGCUAGUUGGUGAGGUAACGGCUCACCAAGGCAACGAUGCGUAGCCGACCUGAGAGGGUGAUCGGCCACACUGGGACUGAGACACGGCCCAGACUCCUACGGGAGGCAGCAGUAGGGAAUCUUCCGCAAUGGACGAAAGUCCGACGGAGCAACGCCGCAUGAGUGAUGAAGGCUUUCGGGUCGUAAAACUCUGUUGUUAGGGAAGAACAAGUGCUAGUUGAAUAAGCUGGCACCUUGACGGUACCUAACCAGAAAGCCACGGCUAACUACGUGCCAGCCGCCGCGGUAA
rnacentral:rRNA from 1 species